UCCUACGGGAGGCAGCAGUGAGGAAUUUUGCGCAAUGGGGGAAACCCUGACGCAGCAACGCCGCGUGAGUGAAGAAGGCCCUCGGGUCGUAAAGCUCUGUCAAGCGGGAAAAAACAUCCCAGGUUAAUAGCUUGGGGGAUUGAUGGUACCGCUGGAGGAAGCACCGGCUAACUCCGUGCCAGCAGCCGCGGUAAUACGGAGGGUGCAAGCGUUGUUCGGAAUUACUGGGCGUAAAGAGCGUGUAGGCGGGUUGGAAAGUCAGAUGUGAAAGCCCCGGGCUUAACCCGGGAAGUGCAUUUGAAACUUCCAUCCUUGAGUAUGGGAGAGGAGAGUGGAAUUCCCAGUGUAGAGGUGAAAUUCGUAGAUAUUGGGAGGAACACCCGUGGCGAAGGCGACUCUCUGGACCAAUACUGACGCUGAGACGCGAAAGCGUGGGGAGCAAACAGGAUUAGAUACCCUGGUAGUCCACGCCGUAAACGAUGAGAACUAGGUGUAGCGGGUAUUGACCCCUGCUGUGCCGCAGCUAACGCAUUAAGUUCUCCGCCUGGGGAGUACGGCCGCAAGGCUAAAACUCAAAUGAAUUGACGG
rnacentral:rRNA from 1 species